rnacentral:rRNA from 1 species
GACGAACGCUGGCGGCGUGCUUAAUACAUGCAAGUCGAACGCACAGUUCAUACCUUUGCUUGCUACACCAUAGACUGUGAGUUGCGAACGGGUGAGUAACGCGUCGGUAACCUUCCUGGUAGCGGGGGAUAACUAGUGGAAACGAUAGCUAAUACCGCAUAAUGUUGAUUAUUGCAUGAUAAUUUAUUGAAAGAUGCUAUUGCAUCGCUACCAGUUGGACCUUCGUUGUAUUAGCUAGUAGGUGAGGUAACGGCUCACCUAGGCGACGAAACAUAGCCGAACGGCGACGGUGAGCGGCCACACUGGGAGGGAGACACGGCCCAGACGGCUACGGGAGGCAGCAAGAGGGAAUCGUCGGCAAUGGACGAGAGUCAGUGCGCGCAACGCCGAAGGAGUGAAGAAGGUCUUCGGGUGGGAGAGCUCUGUUGUAAGGGAAGAAAGGGUGUGAGCGUGGAACGUUCACACUGUGACGGUAACUUACAAGAAAGCAACGGCUAACUACGUG